AUUGCACGCUGGCGGCAGGCCUAACACAUGCAAGUCGAGCGAGCGGCUGACGGGUGAGUAAUGUAUGGGGACUGCCCGAUAGAGGGGGAUAACUACGGGAAAAGGUAGCUAAUACCGCAUACUAUCGGAUAACCCAUAUGGGAUUAGCGAGUAGGUGAGGUAAUGGCUCACCUAGGCGACGAUCCCUAGCUGAUCGGAGAGGAUGAUCAGCCACACUGGGACUUAGACACGCCCCAGACUCCUACGGAGGCAGCAGUAGGGAAUAUUGCACAAUGGGCGCAAGCCUGAUGCAGCCAUGCCGCGUGUAUGAAGAAGGCCCUAGGGUUGUAAAGUUCUUUCAGUCGAGAGGCGUUACCUACAGAAGAAGCACCGGCUAACUCCGUGCCAGCAGCCGCGGUAAUUC
rnacentral:rRNA from 1 species